AUUCAGUAUAUCGGUAAAACCUACCAACAAUUUAGAAGAAGGAUCCUUCAACACAUUUGCUCAAUCUCCAACCCGAAUGUCUCUACCCCACUAUCCAAUCAUGUGAGACUCCAUCAUGGGGGUAAUUCUAGCCAUGUGACAUUUCAGGCUAUAGAAAGAAUAACCUUAAAUUCUCGGAAGGGCAAUUUCAACAAAAUACUGUUAAU